rnacentral:rRNA from 1 species
CAGACUCCUACGGGAGGCAGCAGUGAGGAAUAUUGGUCAAUGGGCGAGAGCCUGAACCAGCCAAGUAGCGUGCAGGAUGACGGCCCUAUGGGUUGUAAACUGCUUUUAUAAGGGAAUAAAAGUGGGGCUCGUGAGCUCCUUUGCAUGUACCUUAUGAAUAAGGACCGGCUAAUUCCGUGC